GGAAAAAUGGCCAAAAAACGGGUGGGCUAUAGCCUUGGUGGGGGGCGUGGGCGAAGUUCGUCCGCGGGACUCGGAAUGGCACCAGACUUGGCGGGCGGCAUCCGUGUGCCAAAAAUAGGCCACGGGCACAGGCGCGCCCAAAAAACAGCCCCCGAAGGUCGGGGUCCCAAGACCCCCCAGCCGAAAAAUGGCCAAAAAAGGGGUG
rnacentral:lncRNA from 1 species